rnacentral:tRNA from 1 species
AUUAAAGUGGCAGAAAGUUUAAUGCAAGGAAUUUAAGCUUCCUUUAUGAUAAAAAUCCUUUAAUA